UGCUGAGGAGUCCCAUAAUAGGACGAAACGGCCGUCCA
rfam:Schistosoma rodhaini strain Burundi genome assembly, scaffold: SROB_scaffold0003495